ensembl:lincRNA uncharacterized LOC106006575
CCACAAGCCUGUGGUCCAUGAACCAAAGCUCAUUCUCAGACACAUUUACUUGGCCUAUUCGGUGUUUCUAAGAGCACCGCUGGAUUAGCUGCGGUAUUUUAAAGUGGGAGCCUUUGCAUAAAAAUCUGGAGCUCUGCUGGGUUUGGGCUUUCCAAAACCAAGCUCUUAAUGAUGGAUUGCCUUUUUGUUCUAAUCGAUGUCAUCUGGAAAGAUCCCAUGAAAUCCUAAGUAGUGGUUUAGAACAUACAGCUGUGCAAAGGCAGAGGAAGGAUGAUAUUCCCACGGCCAGCAACUACCCUCGGCAAGACCACGGCUCAGGAGCUGAUGUGUUUUGGCUUUGGGCCCCUGAAUAUAACGCCUGCUUCCAGCUGUUUGAGGCCAGGUGGCCCCAAGCCGGGAAACAUACACAGAUGUAAAUGAAAACAAAACACAUCACGGGAAAUGGGCCACAUUCUUUUCCUCUACAGUUAUGGGAGUUCGUGCAUGAUGAACAGAGAGGCUGAAGGCCUGGAUGAACAUUGAUCAACUGAUUUGGCAAAUAAUGUUUCCAUUAUGGAAUGUACAAUGGAGCUUCUCCCAACUGGGCUAGUGUUUUGCUCAACAAAGCAAUAUUUUUUUGCAAGUGAAGCUUAAUCAUUUAAUGAUGGUUAUUUUACUGUGUUUUGGGGGAGAGGGAUAAUCUUUUGUAUACCCUCUCAAUGGGAUCCUUGACCAGCCCUUCUGAAAACUGGGGAGGUUAGAAAAUUCACAGGAGAAAAAUACAGAAGCAAAUCACUAUUGUCAGAGUACUUGGUUAUACUUGACCAAAUUUGCUUAAAGGGCAGCUCCAUUGGUAGUCUGACUUAUAAAAUGACCAGAUCUACACAGCUUCUGCCUUUCUUUAGCGUCCCCAUUAGCUUCUGCUCAAAUAUAAGGAGUUUUGGUGAGCAGGCUAUCCCUGAGACCUGACAGACUUCUGGUUGUCCUUAACUGUUCGGCAAUCUUUCCUCCCAUGGGUGGAGAGUCUGCUCUUUUGUAACUUGUUGCUGUUGUUCUGAGCCCUGUUGCACAAAAAGGGCAGCCCCCCCUUCCCUGGGACAGUCCCUCUUCCAACUGGAGAUGAACAUUCCCAAUUUGCAUUUGCUUCUUUUCUUUGGUCUGAUCACCCCUAAUUCCUUCAAGUCUUUACCCCAGAAUAGCAACAGUACUUCCUGAUUGGCUUCCUUGGGACAGGUACUAGUUUGUCAAUAGAAUGUUUAAAAGGUAG